UACGAAGGGUGCAAGCGUUAAUCGGAAUUACUGGGCGUAAAGGGUGCGUAGGCGGUUGUUUAAGUCUGUCGUGAAAUCCCCGGGCUCAACCUGGGAAUGGCGAUGGAUACUGGGCAGCUAGAGUGUGUCAGAGGAUGGUGGAAUUCCCGGUGUAGCGGUGAAAUCCGUAGAGAUCGGGAGGAACAUCAGUGGCGAAGGCGGCCAUCUGGGACAACACUGACGCUGAAGCACGAAAGCGUGGGGAGCAAAAAGG
rnacentral:rRNA from 1 species